GAUGAACGCUAGCGACAGGCUUAACACAUGCAAGUCGAGGGGCAGCAGGGGAGUAGCAAUACCCCCGCUGGCGACCGGCGCACGGGUGAGUAACACGUAUGCAACCUGCCCUUGUCAGGGGGAUAAGCGGAAGAAAUUCCGUCUAAUACCGCAUAACGCUGCGGGGAGACAUCUCCCUGCAGCCAAAGAUUUAUCGGACAAGGAUGGGCAUGCGGCGCAUUAGCUUGUUGGCGGGGUAACGGCCCACCAAGGCGACGAUGCGUAGGGGUUCUGAGAGGAAGGUCCCCCACACUGGUACUGAGACACGGACCAGACUCCUACGGGAGGCAGCAGUGAGGAAUAUUGGUCAAUGGCCGGGAGGCUGAACCAGCCAAGUCGCGUGAGGGAAGACGGUCCUAUGGAUUGUAAACCUCUUUUGUCAGGGAGCAAAAACUGCCACGCGUGGCAGGAUGAGAGUACCUGAAGAAAAGGCAUCGGCUAACUCCGUGCCAGCAGCCGCGGUAAUACGGAGGAUGCGAGCGUUAUCCGGAUUUAUUGGGUUUAAAGGGUGCGUAGGCGGACAGUUAAGUCAGCGGUAAAAUUGAGAGGCUCAACCUCUUCCCGCCGUUGAAACUGAUUGUCUUGGGUGGGCGAGAAGUAUGCGGAAUGCGUGGUGUAGCGGUGAAAUGCAUAGAUAUCACGCAGAACUCCGAUUGCGAAGGCAGCAUACCGGCGCCCAACUGACGCUGAAGCACGAAAGCGUGGGUAUCGAACAGGAUUAGAUACCCUGGUAGUCCACGCAGUAAACGAUGAAUACUAAUUGUUCGGGUCGAGUGAGAUCUGAGUGAUACAGCGAAAGCGUUAAGUAUUCCACCUGGGGAGUACGCCGGCAACGGUGAAACUCAAAGGAAUUGACGGGGGCCCGCACAAGCGGAGGAACAUGUGGUUUAAUUCGAUGAUACGCGAGGAACCUUACCCGGGCUCAAACGACACAGGAAUGAUCUGAGAAAUCAGGCAGUCCUUCGGGACCUGUGUCGAGGUGCUGCAUGGUUGUCGUCAGCUCGUGCCGUGAGGUGUCGGCUUAAGUGCCAUAACGAGCGCAACCCCCAUCGACAGUUGCCAGCAGGUCGAGCUGGGCACUCUGUCGAGACUGCCGGCGCAAGCUGUGAGGAAGGCGGGGAUGACGUCAAAUCAGCACGGCCCUUACGUCCGGGGCGACACACGUGUUACAAUGGCAGGUACAGCGGGAAGCCACCUGGCGACAGGGAGCGGAACCCGAAAGCCUGUCUCAGUUCGGAUUGGAGUCUGCAACUCGACUCCAUGAAGCUGGAUUCGCUAGUAAUCGCGCAUCAGCCACGGCGCGGUGAAUACGUUCCCGGGCCU
rnacentral:rRNA from 1 species